rnacentral:tRNA from 1 species
GCCGGGGUGGUGAAACUGGUAGACGCACUGGACUCAAAAUCCAGCGAGGGCAACCUCGUGUCGGUUCGAUUCCGACCCCCGGCACCA